rnacentral:rRNA from 1 species
ACGGAAGGCAGCAGUGAGGAAUAUUGGUCAAUGGGCGAGAGCCUGAACCAGCCAUGUCGCGUGGAGGAUGAAGGUCCUACGGAUUGUAAACUCCUUUUGCAGGGGGGUAAAGUGAGCCACGCGUGGCUUAUUGCAAGUACCCUGCGAAUAAGCAUCGGCUAACUCCGUGCCAGCAGCCGCGGUAAUACGGAGGAUGCGAGCGUUAUCCGGAUUUAUUGGGUUUAAAGGGUGCGUAGGCGGGCGAUUAAGUCAGCGGUGAAAGUUUGCGGCUCAACCGUAAAAUUGCCGUUGAUACUGGUUGCCUUGAGUGCGGCAGAGGCAGGCGGAAUGUGUGGUGUAGCGGUGAAAUGCAUAGAUAUCACACAGAACACCGAUUGCGAAGGCAGCUUGCUGGAGCGCAACUGACGCUGAGGCACGAAAGCGCGGGUAUCGAACAGGAUUAGAUACCCUGGUA